CCAGCACCCCGAGUGGUCGGGACGAUUAUUGGGCCUAAAGCAUCCGUAGCCGGUUUUACAAGUCCCCCGUUAAAUCCAACUGCUUAACAGAUGGGCCGCGGAGGAUACUAUAAGACUAGGAGGCAGGAGAGGCAAGCGGUACUCAGUGGGUAGGGGUAAAAUCCGUUGAUCCAUUGAAGACCACCAGUGGCGAAGGCGGCUUGCCAGAAUGCGCUCGACGGUGAGGGAUGAAAGCUGGGGGGAGCAAACCGGAUUAGAUACCCGGGUAGUCCCAGCUGUAAACGAUGCAGACUCGGUGAUGGACUAGCUUAAUGCUAGUCCAGUGCCGCAGGGAAGCCGUUAAGUCUGCCGCCUGGGUAGUACGGUCGCAAGACUG
rnacentral:rRNA from 1 species